GAAUAUUGGUCAAUGGACGAGAGUCUGAACCAGCCAAGUAGCGUGAAGGAUGACUGCCCUAUGGGUUGUAAACUUCUUUUAUAUGGGAAUAAAGUAUUCCACGUGUGGGAUUUUGUAUGUACCAUAUGAAUAAGGAUCGGCUAACUCCGUGCCAGCAGCCGCGGUAAUACGGAGGAUCCGAGCGUUAUCCGGAUUUAUUGGGUUUAAAGGGAGCGUAGGUGGAUUGUUAAGUCAGUUGUGAAAGUUUGCGGCUCAACCGUAAAAUUGCAGUUGAAACUGGCAGUCUUGAGUACAGUAGAGGUGGGCGGAAUUCGUGGUGUAGCGGUGAAAUGCUUAGAUAUCACGAAGAACUCCGAUUGCGAAGGCAGCUCACUAGACUGCAACUGACACUGAUGCUCGAAAGUGUGGGUAUCAAACAGGAUUAGAUACCCUGGUAGUCCACACAGUAAACGAUGAAUACUCGCUGUUUGCGAUAUACAGUAAGCGGCCAAGCGAAAGCAUUAAGUAUUCCACCUGGGGAGUACGCCGGCAACGGUGAAACUCAAAGGAAUUGACGGGGGCCCGCACAAGCGGAGGAACAUGUGGUUUAAUUCGAUGAUACGCGAGGAACCUUACCCGGGCUUAAAUUGCAAAUGAAUAAUCUGGAAACAGGUUAGCCGCAAGGCAUUUGUGAAGGUGCUGCAUGGUUGUCGUCAGCUCGUGCCGUGAGGUGUCGGCUUAAGUGCCAUAACGAGCGCAACCCUUAUCUUUAGUUACUAACAGGUCAUGCUGAGGACUCUAGAGAGACUGCCGUCGUAAGAUGUGAGGAAGGUGGGGAUGACGUCAAAUCAGCACGGCCCUUACGUCCGGGGCUACACACGUGUUACAAUGGGGGGUACAGAAGGCAGCUACCACGCAAGUGGAUGCCAAUCCCAAAAACCUCUCUCAGUUCGGAUUGAAGUCUGCAACCCGACUUCAUGAAGCUGGAUUCGCUAGUAAUCGCGCAUCAGCCACGGCGCGGUGAAUACGUUCCCG
rnacentral:rRNA from 1 species